UUAAUCAUCGGCAGACAGAUGUUUCCUGUCAAGGAUUUGACAACAACUCAGUAUGAUGAUAUGCUGAAAGAGAUGUUUGAGAGAGAAAUGAGCAUCUUGAACGCAGGUCAACGGGCGGCAUGUUUCAGAACUCUAGCACGUCUUCCAGUUGAGCUGAUACACUUCGCUCCGGUUGGCCAAAAGAAAUGGAGGCUAUAGCGGAAACUAUGAAUGCACCUGGUCACUUUGAUCUUGAAAUCCUUCGAAUCCAGAAACUCGACAAGUACACUGGAGGUUGCGAGUAGAAUGAUAUAACUUCCGAAUGCAGACAUGAAUGUUAAACUGAGAAAACAAAGAUUAAAUAUAAUAGUCAUCCAUCUGUUGUUCCACCAUAAAAGCAGAUGAAUUAA